rnacentral:rRNA from 1 species
GAUGAACGCUAGCGGCAGGCAUAAUACAUGCAAGUUGAACGGGAUUCAGAUAGCAAUAUUUGAUGAGAGUGGCGCGCGGGUGCGUAACACGUAUGCAACUUACCUUAAACUGGGAGAUAGCCCGUGGAAACAUGGAUUAAUAUCCCAUAGUAUAAAGAACAGGCAUUUGUUUUUUAUUAAAGCUCCGGCGGUUUAAGAUGGGCAUGCGCGUCAUUAGCUAGAUGGAGAGGUAACGGCUCACCAUGGCAACGAUGACUAGGGGGUCUGAGAGGAUGUCCCCCCACACUGGUACUGAGACACGGACCAGACUCCUACGGGAGGCAGCAGUAGGGAAUAUUGGGCAAUGGACGCAAGUCUGACCCAGCCAUGCCGCGUGCAGGAAGACGGCCCUCUGGGUUGUAAACUGCUUUUAUCAGGGAAGAAACCCUUCUACGUGUAGGAGGCUGACGGUACCUGAGGAAUAAGGAUCGGCUAACUCCGUGCCAGC